UGAGUAACCUGCCCUCAGCUUUGGGAUAACCCUCGGAAACGGGGGCUAAUACCGGGUAUUCAUUUCCUGCGGCAUCGUGGGGGGUGGAAAGUUUUUGCGGCUGGGGAUGGGCUCGCGGCCUAUCAGCUUGUUGGUGGGGUAAUGGCCUACCAAGGCGGCGACGGGUAGCCGGCCUGAGAGGGCGACCGGCCACACUGGGACUGAGACACGGCCCAGACCUCCGUACGGGAGCA
rnacentral:rRNA from 1 species